GAAGAACAAGGCUGCUUCAAAAUGGCUUUCCUAAGUAAGGUUGGAAAUAUACUGAGGCAGGGUGCAAAUAAGAGGAUUGGAUUAGAUUUGCAGCCUUCCGGUUUGUCUAUCUGUCAAGCUGUACGAUGGAUGUCUUCCAUGCAAAGUUCAAAACUUUUUAUCGGAGGAAUUUCAUACAGCACUGAUGAUCAAAGUCUCAGGGAAGCCUUUUCUAAAUAUGGGGAAGUAAUCGAAGCUAGGGUCAUUGUAGACCGCGAAACUGGAAGAUCCAGAGGAUUUGGAUUUGUGACUUACACCUCUAGUGAGGAG
rnacentral:misc_RNA from 1 species